GUGUCCAAUGACUAAUUCAACCAAGAACUUAUAAAGCCGAUGUAAUCAAUAUUAUAAUGCCCCUGCGCGAGGACCCCGGGGAGAAUGAACCGGGGGGCGAUGCAGGGGCAACAGCUCGGUCAUAGCGAGGUCCCCACGGGAGAGCCUUCCGCGUUACGGAGCACAAUGACCGUGGGUAACCCUGACCGAGCACAAUUCUGCCCGCCUGGGUUAACCCGCUUGAGAAUGCCGUUAUUUGGCUUUAAUGAAGGCGGGGGUUACGGGCGGGCAACACUAAC
rnacentral:snoRNA from 1 species